rnacentral:rRNA from 1 species
UACAGAGGGUGCGAGCGUUAAUCGGAAUUACUGGGCGUAAAGGGCGCGUAGGCGGUCUGGUCAGUCGGAUGUAAAAGCCCCGGGCUUAACCUGGGAAUGCCAUUCGAUACUGCCCGACUUGAGUAUGGUAGAGGGUAGCGGAAUUCCGGGUGUAGCGGUGAAAUGCGUAGAGAUCCGGAGGAACACCAGUGGCGAAGGCGGCUACCUGGACCAAUACUGACGCUGAGGCGCGAAAGCGUGGGGAGCAAACAGGAUUAGAUACCCUGGUAGUCCACGCCCUAAACGAUGAGAACUAGCCGUUGGGGGUAUUAAAACCUUUAGUGGCGAAGCUAACGCGAUAAGUUCUCCGCCUGG